AUUGAACGCUGGCGGCAUGCUUUACACAUGCAAGUCGAACGGUAACAGGCCUUCGGGUGCUGACGAGUGGCGAACGGGUGAGUAAUGCAUCGGAACGUACCCAGAGGUGGGGGAUAACGCAGCGAAAGCUGUGCUAAUACCGCAGGUGAUCUGAGGAUGAAAGCGGGGGACCGAGCAGCAAUGUUUGGCCUCGCGCCUUUGGAGCGGCCGAUGUCGGAUUAGCUAGUUGGUGGGGUAAAGGCCUACCAAGGCGACGAUCCGUAGCUGGUCUGAGAGGACGACCCGCCACACUGGGACUGAGACACGGCCCAGACUCCGACGGGAGGCAGCAGUGGGGAAUUUUGGACAAUGGGGGCAAGCCUGAUCCAGCAAUGCCGCGUGCGGGAAGAAGGCCUUAGGGUUGUAAACCGCUUUUGGCCGGAACGAAACGGUGUCCGCUAAUACCGGGCGCUAAUGACGGUACCUGCAGAAUAAGCACCGGCUAACUACGUG
rnacentral:rRNA from 1 species